AGCUGGGUGCGCGGCCUGGGAAGCUGCACUCAGAGACCCAACCGCCCGGGUCUGGGAGAGAGACCCCAGCCCCUGGACGCCCCGCCCGCCCACCGCGCGCCGAUGGUCCAGAGCCUCCCCUGCCCCCUUGUUUGUUCCUCCAGGACUCCCCACUUUCCGACAGUUACUUGCUGCCACCUGUGGUUGGCAGUGACAGUCAAGUAGCUGUGUGUCCCUGCCCGGAGUGGAACUUGCGUCUCUGCAGAUGUCAUUCACACUGUGACCUCCCCAGGAAUAAGCCUGAAAAGAAAUGUCUGGCCUCUUGGACUGUUGUCCUGGUUCUUCGGCUCUUUGCUUGGGAAGUUCACCGGCAGGCUGGUGCGACGGAGUGAUGGCAGACAGCAAGCAAUCCCACACAAACAGCUUCCAUUGCAGAAACAAGGGAGCUAUACAAAGCCAGAGUACGUUCCGGAGAGGAAGAGGGUGUCUGAGGGUCAGGGGUCUGGAAGAGGCUUAGACGGUGAUCCUGGCUUGGUCUCUCAGAAGGCUGCCGUCACCUUAAGACCUGAAUGAACUGCAUGCAGGCUCCACUUUGAAGCCCACUCAUGUGGCAAGUGGUAUGACGCUGCAUUCCUCCCGGUGUGGGCCUGUCCGUGUGGCUACCUAGUGUCCUGCCGUGGUGGCUGCUCCCCCAAGCAAGGCAGCUGCAACGCUGUGGGUGGGCUACCCUCCCUCUCUCCUGCCACACUCCACGCUUGGGAGGCAAGUCGCUCUCCAGCCAUACCCAAGGG